GUGGGGUAACGGCCUACCAAGGCUUACGGCUAGCUGGUCUGAGAGGAUGAUCAGCCACACUGGGACUGAGACACUGCCCAGACUCCUACGGGAGGCUGCAGUCGAGGAUCAUUUGCAAUGCGCGAAAGCGUGACAAUGCGACGCUGCGUGGAGGAUGACGGCCCUAGGGUUGUAAACUCCUGUCAUGAGGGAAAAACGGCACGGCCGAUAAUACCGGCUGUGUGUGAUGGUACCUCAAGAGGAAGCCACGGCUAACUCUGUGCCAGCAGCCGCGGUAAUACAGAGGUGGCGAGCGUUGUUCGAAUUUACUGGGCGUAAAGCGUGCGUAGGUGGUUUCGUGUGUCGGAUGUGAAAGCCCACGGCUCAACCGUGGAACGGCAUCCGAAACUGCGGGACUAGAGUCCAGGAGGGGAGAGCGGAAUUCUUGGUGUAGCGGUGAAAUGCGUUGAUAUCAAGAAGAACACCGGUGGCGAAGGCGGCUCUCUGGAAUGGUACUGACACUGAGGCACGAAAGCUGGGGGAGCGAACAGGAUUAGAUACCCUGGUAGUCCCAGCCGUAAACGGUGCGCACUUGGUGUGGGCAGUAUUGACCCCGUCCGUGCCGGAGCUAACGCGUUAAGUG
rnacentral:rRNA from 1 species